GACGAACGCUGGCGGCGUGCUUAACACAUGCAAGUCGAACGGAAAGGCCCUGCUUUUGUGGGGUGCUCGAGUGGCGAACGGGUGUGUAACACGUGAGUAACCUGCCCUUGACUUUGGGAUAACUUCAGGAAACUGGGGCUAAUACCGGAUAGGAGCUCCUGCUGCGUGGUGGGGGUUGGUAAGUUUCGGCGGUUGGGGAUGGUCUCGCGGGUUAUCAGCUUGUUUGUGGGGUAGUGGCUUACCAAGGCUUUGACGGAUAGCCGGCGUGAGAGGGUGACCGGCCACAUGAGGACUAAGAUACGGACCAGACUCCUACGGGCGGCAACAGGGGAGAGUAUGGCACAAUGGGCGGAAGCCAGAUGCAGCAGCGCCGCGUGCGGGAUGACGGCCUUCGAGUUAUAAACCGCUUUCGCCUGUGACGAAGCGUGAGUGACGGUAAUUAAUAAAGAAGCACCGGCUAACUACGUG
rnacentral:rRNA from 1 species